rnacentral:lncRNA from 1 species
AUUUUUCAACGGCUCUUUUCCUCACAGGCUCUUGAAGCAGAGCAAACUACGACGUUUCCUGGUGUUGUAACCUUGUAGGCCUGCUAUUGUGACUGAAUGGGUUCAGAGCGAGGAGCGUGUAUCAUCGUAUGUCCUUCAAUUUCGUUAAUUGCAUGGAAAAACUCUGGUAAACUCUCAGGUAAUUUUUAUUAGAUAACAUUCGUAAAAAUUAGCGGUUUGAGAUUUUCUGGGUUCUGAUUGUGUAGUCUCUAAUUGGUUUUGGUUCAAACUUCAAUCCUUUUGUGAAAUUGUUUAGUAUUUUAAUUCAAGGAAGUUGAAUUUGAAAAUUAGAAUUGGAGGUUUUGAAAAUAGUUCAUACAUCACUGCUGUUACCUCAUAAGACAUAGUAAUCUUGAUCGGCCGUCUGUUAAUUUCUUCUUCUCCUCUUCAAACAGGUAAAAGGGAUGAUCUUUUGCUUACCCAAAGAAAAAAGUAAAACUUUGGUUCUAAUUGUAUGAUAAAUGACUGAUUGGAUAAUGAGUUAUUGGAAUUUUAUCUGUGUUUGGUCCAAUAGAAGGGUUCUUGUAUAAAAUUACGUUUCUUUGUUAUGAGCUAAAGUUCAUCCUUAAUAAUUGGGUUCACUCAUCACUUUGUUGAUUCUGGAUUAUGUCAUUUGUGUUGUGUUGUUGAUUCUGGAUUAUGCCAUUUGUGCUGUGUUGUUGAUUUCUUGCUUUUUCUAUACUUUGAUAUCCUUUGUGUGUAUGUUUAUAGAGCCUUUUUCUUUGAUUCAUUUGAUAAUUAAAAGCUGUUUCAAAUAGAAACAUAUAAAAGCCUUUCUGUAACCAGGACUUGAAUUCCAUUAACUUUUUUCUGUGGGAUACAAACAAGAACCUCCUGUAUUAAAUUUCAAAACAGUAUUAUUUUACCCUAGAAUAGUUUUCAGAGUGGCCUCUGGGUUCUGUUAGUUUGAAGAUCAGUAUCUUCAUUAUUUUGUUCUUAGAUUUCCAUGUAUGCGUAAUCUAUAUGGUUUCCUUCAUUGACUAGUCGGACAUGACAGUUUUGGCAUCACUUUAUUAGCAUAGAUGCUGUUAAAAAUACAAUAAUAAUAUAAAGAACUGAAAUACUGUUGACCCGCAUUUGGCAUGAUUGUGUCCUGGUGCCAGGACAUGAUAUACCUCUCCCAUAUCAUGUCCUAGUGAUCUUUCAUUUGUUAAGUUUUGUAGCUGUUUAAUUUCUGCAGAUGUUUAAUCCUUUACAUUUUCAGGCUUUUCUUACUGCAUUUAGUUGAUUCAUAUGAUGCAUACAAGCUGUAGCAUCUGGAUCUCUCAGUUUGCCAUCUCAUGUUUUGUUAGUCUGUAUAGAUCACUCCAUUAUGGUUGGUUGUAUUUGGCAUGAUAUGGAAUUCGGUGGUUCUUUGAAACAUAAUCUUAGAUUUUGACCUAGUCUACUUUUCUGUGGAGUGAGUUGGAAUCUGGUUACAUGCUGUGUGGAUUGGAAAUUUGACUGUUUUAAGGUUGUGAUGGAGUGCUAACCUGAAACUAUAUUCUAACUACCUUUGAUGGAAGAUAUUUGGUAAUAUAUGGUUUAUUGUUUUCCCCUUUUGUUGUUGAUUAGGUCUUGGGAUUGUGAUUUUUGGUUUGCUUUUGUUAAUAAAUGGAGCUUUGGUUAUGUGAAUUUUCAGGCUUUGUCAGGAUUGAGUAUGUAAUCUUAACAAAAUUACAAAAGCAGGUUGGAGGUCGUAGUAGGUCCUUGGCUCAAGGAAUGAUGUUUUGCAAAUAAUAAAAAAGUAGCUUCAGCAAAACUUGAGAAACGGUUUUCCAUUUUAAACAGGUGUAAAUUCUUAAAAUUCCGUUCCGAAUGAACAAAUCACUGCCUAGACGGAGUAAGG